AUCUUUGAGUAUAAUGGAAGUGCUGUAGUCGCGAUGGUGGGGAAAAAUUGUUUUGCCAUUGCCAGUGAUCGUAGGCUUGGUGUUCAGCUGCAGACUAUUGCCACAGAUUUCCAGAAAAUUUACAGGAUUCAUGAUAAGCUAUUUCUCGGCCUUUCGGGCCUUGGUACCGAUGCUCAGACACUGUAUCAACGGCUUGUUUAUCAGCACAAACUGUACCAACUUCGUGAAGAGAGGGACAUGAAGCCUGA
rnacentral:misc_RNA from 1 species